rnacentral:rRNA from 1 species
GACGAACGCUGGCGGCGUGCUUAACACAUGCAAGUCGAACGGAAAGGCCCUGCUUUUGUGGGGUGCUCGAGUGGCGAACGGGUGAGUAACACGUGAGUAACCUGCCCUUGACUUUGGGAUAACUUCAGGAAACUGGGGCUAAUAACGGAUAGGAGCUCCUGCUGCAUGGUGGGGGUUGGAAAGUUUCGGCGGUUGGGGAUGGACUCGCGGCUUAUCAUCUUGUGGGUGGGGUAGUGGCUUACCAAGGCUUUGACGGGUAGCCGGCCUGGGAGGGUGACCGGCCACAUUGGGACUGAGAUACGGCCCAGACUCCUACGGGAGGCAGCAGUGGGGAAUAUUGCACAAUGGGCGGAAGCCUGAUGCAGCAACGCCGCGUGCGGGAUGACGGCCUUCGGGUUGUAAACCGCUUUCGCCUGUGACGAAGCGUGAGUGACGGUAAUGGGUAAAGAAGCACCGGCUAACUACGUG